AAAAAUGUUUUUAUAUUUUCAACAAAUUAAUGUGUGAGAGUGUGUUGUGAAAAAAGUAAAUUUCUCACUCAGCCAUUAAUCAAUGCGCUGUUGUCUGUCUAUUAACAUGAAUAAGUUCCUCCAACGAAACAUACUUCACCCAUAGAAAAGAGUAAGUGCAGUGUCGACCAACAGUAGUGAGUUGAGUGUAUACUUCCUGGAAGGUCUUAAAAAAAUUAAAAAAAAUUGUGAAUUUUUGUGCACUAAAUAGAAAAGAAAACCCCUUCCUUGGAGUUGGCUAGAAAACUCGGUGGAACAGUGCAAGAGUAAGAAGAAGCAUUCAGGAAGAAUGUUCUCUAUACACCGACCCAGAGUUUUAUUGAGAGUUUGUGUGUGUGCGUCGCCGUUUGUGUGAAGUAUUUAUACACGACACAUAAAAUUAUAUUCCCUUAUUCACCGCCGCCGCCCUACUGCUGCUGCAACGGCGACGACUUUUUGGCGCUGCGCUGACUGUGCACGAAAAGCAGCAACAACAAAAACAACAACUUGCGAUAAACAGUGUCAUAUCACCCAACAAGAAUUCCCUUUUUUCAAUUUGCCCAAGUGAAAUGGAGUGAAUGUUGUCCAAAACGGAUUGACUUUGUGUGUGUGUUUAAACUUCAGCGUCGAGCCCUUGUGUUUCUUGUUGUUGCUGUUUGUUUUUCGCGUAUGUGUGUGAAUUUGUUUGUUUUCUCAAAACUUCUGCAGCGGCAGCGACAGCAAUAACCGGCCGCAGCAGAGAGCGAAAUAGUGCAAAUGUUUCAUAUGUAUAUAGUGAUGAGUGAGUGUGUGAACUUUGUGUAAAAGAUAAACACCGAUAAACAUCCAGAAAUACCAAAAACCCCCACGAAACGCAACGAAACAUUUAAAGAAGGGGGCAGGCAAAUUCGCAAGCUCAAAUUAAUUUUGAUUUCCGUAUUACUCCUCCCUCCCUCCAGAAAAAAAAUCAAAAUUGAAAAAAACAAAGAUAAUUUGUGUGAAAAUUUUCAAUAAGGAUUAAAAUUUAUCUCAUUCGCCCCGAAAAAGAAAGGAUAUCAAAACCUCGCUCGUUCUAUUGUACAACGAGAGAGUGAGAGAGAUUUAAGAAGGAGAGUGUAAUAAGUUUGCAGUGAGAAAAAGGACUUUCGACGGCGGUUGUUCUUGCAAAAAUAUUGCUCGCUUUCACCAUAAUCACAUAAGCUGCAAUAGAUUAGCAGUUGUCUUCGUGUGAAUUUAACCAAAUUAUGUGAUCUCAUAACAUAAAGAAUUCCCCUUUAGGCGUUUAUUAGUAGCAAUAACAAAUCAACAUCAUCUCUACCAAGGAUAUAUGUAAUAAUAAUAAGUAACACAAUAACAACUGCAACAACGUAAAGACUUGAAAAAAUCUAUACAAGAACCACAAGUGAAUGGCGUAAAAAUUAAAACAACAACAAUAAACAACAAACAACCAAAAGUCUUACUACAACUGCUAUAUAUACACCAAUAUAUUAUAUAUUCAAAUAUAUAUUAAAAAAUAAAUUACAAAAACCAAUAGAUAUAAAUAAUAAUAAUAAUAUAAUACUAAUAUAUAAAAUUAAAUCAGCAACGCAAUAGUAUUCGUUACCAUAAUACAGCAAAUCCCAUUACCAAUAAAAAAUCAUAAAUAAAUACAACAAUAGAAAUUAGCAAAAUACCACGGCAACCACAAUAUUAUAUACAAUACAAUACUCGCCACACAUUCAACGAAGAGUAAUAAGGAGAUAACAAACGAUACAAUCAUAUUGUAUCACCAGAGAUUAAAAAAAAAACAAGCAAACAGCACUGCAGAGGAGAUCGAUUUACAUACAUAAGGAGAGAUUAAAUCAUAUAUACAAUAUAUAUAUAGAAAUAUUUUAGGGUAUAUACAAUCCCUAUUAUCCCUAGGCGAAGGAACAACGUUUUUUUGUAUUAUAUAUAAUUAAUAUAUACAAUUUUACAAACCCCCCAAACACACACAAUAAUCCACUAUUGUCGUCGGAACUUUUAUAUUCGAUAUCGAUAUCCUGUUGAACAUUACGUUAACUAAUCUCUUGGAGUGAUCGAGUACACGUCAACAUCCUGCUGCUUCAUUCCUUUUAAACUUUCGUCGUAGUCGUCGUCGUUGGAAGAACUAAAACAAAAUUUUCGUCAACAUUUUAAGCUAAAGUUUUUAACAUAAUUUUACAACAAAAUGACGUAAG
rnacentral:sRNA from 1 species